rnacentral:rRNA from 1 species
AUGAAAUAUGAAAUGAAGUCCAUGAGCACUAAUGAUGUAUGGGACUUAGUACAAAUUCCCAGAGGAGCCAAAACAGUUGGAUGCAAAUGGGUCUUUAAGACUCAACGUGACUCCAAGGGGAAUAUCGAAAGGUUUAAAGCAAAGGCUUGGGGCAAAAAGGUUUCACUCAAAGAGAAGGGAUUGGUUAUGAACCCCCCAAAAAAAUCACAAUUCUCUUCUAAAAAAUCAUUCAGAAUAAUUAUGGCACUCGUGGCUCAUUAUGAUUUGGCGCUGCAUCAUAUGGAUGUCAAAACGACAUUUCUAAAUGGUGACUUAAGUGAAGGUGUAUACAUGGCACAACCAGAAGGUUUUGUUGUGGAAGGAAAAAAUUGGACAUUUAAGGGAUGA